UCCCAUUGGCUGUCUCUCUGGGACAGGCACAGUGGUCGCCGAGUUGACGCUCAGGGUGAAAGGUGUGCGUGUGCGUGUGCGUGUGCGUGUGCGCACGCGGGCAUUUUCAGAGUGUACAUUUUUCUCCGAGUUUGACUACUCCAAGACUGACUAUCCGUAAGGGGCUGAUUAGCUGCCCGGGUCGGUGGCGAGGUUCGGCGCAGUCGCUGGCUGUGCAGGGUGACGGUGGUGGUGUCUUUCCGCGAGCUCUUACAGUCUUGUUUAGCCUUCACUCAGUCUGGAGCGUGUGGCACCGCAGGGUCAGUCGCGCAGAUUCAUAUAAUUAAGGCCAAGGAGGGGUCACCAAACUUUUUUGGUGUCUCUCCCUGGGAAGUAACGUGUGUCGUGCAGUUUGGAGAUGUGUACCGCUACGUCUGACAUCCCAGAUGCUGUUUGAGUACAUUUGGCGUCUGUGAGCAUUUUGGGGAGUUUUUGGUGAAUGGGAUAUUUUAUCUGGGUGGGUUUUGUGAGCCAUGGUACAAAGUCUGUAGGGAUUUGUGUCCUUGUAGACCUGGGUGUGCAUUUUCUGAGCUUUUGGGCAUUAGAGUCACUGGGUGUUAGACCCUUAUGUAGACGUCUGUACCCCAACGUGUGAGGCCUUUGAACUGUUGUGAUUCUGGGUCCCAAGGUGUGAUGUCUCUGAGCUGCUUUAGGAAGGGGUUUGUCUAAAGGUGUAAAGUAUCUGAGCUGUUUGGGGUCUGUGUGUCAGUAGUAAAAUCUCUUACCAUUUUGGCUGUGAGGUCUCUGUCCCGGAACUGAGGGAGUUGGAAACCCGGCAGGUAUGAUUCCGAAGCCUGGAACCCGACGUGCUGAUGGUGCGUUGUUGAGGGUGUCACUUGUCUCCUGGAGUCUCAGUAAUCAGGGAAAGUCUCCCUGAAGGAUGACGAAUGAGCAGAGACCUGGAGGAAGUGAGGGAGCACGCCGUGGGAUUACCUGAAGGAAGAGCAUUCCAGGCAGAAGGAACAGCAGGUGCCACAGUCCUGGCGGGGCAGUCUACUUGGCGUGCUCCUGGAUAUCAAGGAGUCCUGUGAUGCACUGGGUCCAGCACGUAGCACUCAUUGAAAGGUGUCUGGUGCUGCUCUCUGUGUUUGUCCCACAAUCUGUGGUCAUCCCCAUUUCACAGAUGAAGGACCCGAGGCUCCAAGAUGUGCCCUGCACCUUCUCUCCUGCUUACACCUGAAAUUACUGAAGAGGGGUGAAACUUUCUAGCCCAUCAUGAGAGACAGAGGGCCUGAGUGUAAGAGCUGCAGGGAGGACACCGUCCACACUGAAUGUCAGCCAACCAGCGGAGAUCAGUUAUAAAAUGGGAAUCAUGCCCCUCAUAACAUUGCUACUCUUGAUGGAGGGCAGGACUUAAGAAUGAGAAAGGAACUGGGGCAAAGGAGAGAGGCAGGAAGGGGAAGCUGGAGGACAGUGAGGAAAAAACCCACUGGCUUCAUCAUAUUGCUUGGAUUUGGCCCAGUUCACCUUGAUUAACUGAUAUAUUCACUUUUCCCCUGUCCCUACCCUUUCUUUCCCUUCCCUUCUCUUCUCUUUUGUGCCUGAGCAGUUCAGUCCUAAAGCCAUUAGGUGUUGACGGGCAAGGCAAGUAUAUGCGUGUAGGGGCAUCCCAAUUUGGGAGGUCAGAGCCCAAGGUGGUAAGGAGGAUAUCCCUGGGGGUUCUGUGGGGAGGUGGUUAACUGGCUCAGGGAUUCAGGCUUGAGUGAGGUGUGGAAGUCAAGGGCAGGGGAUGGUUCAGCAUAGCACGUGGGGAGGACCUCUUUGUGGAGGAGGGAUGGCUUAUAUGCAUUGGGAUUUGUCAACUCAGUGAAUAUAUAAGGAUGGUGGGAGCCACGUCUGUCACUUUUGGAAGAGGGAAUUUCCAAUAUGGAAAGGAGGUAAACUGGAACAACUUCUGAGGAGUUCUACUGGAAUUAAAGGUCUCCGUGAGAACUCCUGGUUUUCAAUAGAUAUGUGUGCAUAUGUGGAUAGAUUGAUAUAGAAAUAUAUAUAUGUGUGUGUGUGUGUGUGUGUGAUUGUGUUCACACAUAUAUUCCAAACUUCCUGAAAACAGCAACAUCCCAAUGACAAUAAGUACACCUACCGCUAGAUCCUAGCUUCUGAAUACCAUUCUCCGCUAAAUGCUGGGUUCCCAGGCUGAGGAGAGAAAGGAUUAAUGAGCCUGGCUCAACUUGUCAUGUCAGUAAUAAGGGAAAGUUAAGGAAUGAUGGGGAGAUGUCAGGGGGACACAGAAUAUAGCUGGAGGGCUCUCCCACCGGAAAAGCUGGGGACUCUUUUAUCUUUUCCAGCUUCUCUGAGGUAUUAUUGACAUAUAGCAUGUAAGUUUAAGGUGCACAGUGUGAUGAUUUGAUACACGUAGGUAGGGCAAAACGAUUACCACAAUAAGGUUAGUUAGCACUCUAUCCCCUCACAGAAUUACCUUUUUAAAAAUUGUGGUGAUAACAUUUCAGAUCUACCCUCUUAGCUUUCAAUAUACGAUACAGUUUUGUUCCUUAUACUCAGCAUGCUGUACAUUAGAUCCCCAUAACUUAUUCAUCUUGUAGCUGGAAGUUUGUACCGUUUGACCAAUAUUUCCCCCAGCCCCUGGCAACCGCCAUUCUAAACUCUAUUUCUGUGAGUUUGACUUUUUUAGAGUCUACAUAUAAGUAGAACAUACAAUAUGUCUUUCUUUCACUUACUUCACUUAGCAUAAAGCCUUCCAGGUCCAUUCGUGUUGUUGCAAAAGGCAGGAUUUUCUUCGUUUUUGUGGCUGAAUAAUAUUCCGUUGUAUAUGUCACCACAUUUUCUAUAUCCAUUCAUCCCCUCCAUGGCCACUUAGUUGCUUACAUAUCUUGGUUGAAGCUGCAUUGUAAAUUGUGACGUUGGUGUUAGUCCUCCAACUUUGUUUUUCAAAAUUAUUUGGCUAUUCUAGUUCCUUUGCCUUACCCCAGAAAUUUUAUCAUCAGUUAGUCUAUAUGUACAAAAAAAUCCUUGCCUGGAUUUGUGAUUGGAAUUGUAUGAAAUUGAUGGAUCUAUUUGGGGACUAUUGACAUCCUAAUUAUAUUGAAUUUCUCAACAGAUGAACGCAGUAUGUGUCUCCAUUUUGUUAGGUCUUCUUAUAUUUCUUUUCCUCAGCAUUUUGUAGUUUUGAGCAUACAGAUCCUGCUUAUGUUUCGCUAGGUUUUGGGGGGAAGCUAUUAUAAAUGGUAUGCACAAGUCUUUUUUUUUAAAAUUUCCUAAUUGUUCAUUGCUAGUACAGGCAAAUAUGCCUGAUUUUUUGGUGUUGAGCUUGUAUCCUGCGACCUUGUUAAACUCACUUCUUAGUUAUAGGAGUUUUUGUUAAUAGAUUUCAUGGGAUUUUCUAGGUAGAUAAUCAUGUCAUUGGUGGAUGGGAGCAGUUUGAUUUCCUCCUUCCCAAUCUCUAAACCAUUUGUUUCUUUUUCUUUUCUUACUGGAGUGGCUAGGACUUCCAGUACAAUGUUGACUUAUAGCUAUCCUCCUGGCCUGGUUCCUGAUCUUAGGGAGAAAGCAUUUAGUCUCUCUCCAUCAAGUAGGAUGGAGGGGCGGGUAUUUUUGUAGAUGCUCUGUGUCAGGUUAAGAAAGCUCCCUUCUACUCCUGGUUAGCUGAAUGUUUUCAUCAUGAACGACUGUUGAAUUUUGUCAGAUACUUUUUCUGCAUCAACAGAUAACGAUCAUGUGGUUCUUUAUCUUUGGUAUGCUACUAUGCUGGCUUGAUUGAUGUUUUAAUGCUGCACCAGCUUUGCAUUUCGGGGAUAAACCUCACUUGGUCAUGGUGUAUUAUUCUUUUUAUAUAUUGAAUUUGAUUUGCUACUACUGUCUUUGUUUGACUUUGGUAUCAGGGUAAUGCUAAUCUGAAAAAAGAA